AUAAUCAUAGCUUACCAACAAUGCACCAAUAAGUUAUGGACAUGCAGUGGCACGUUGAGGUUAUGAUUAUGCCACUUAAGUAUUAUUGAAUUUAUAACGUGCGCCGCUAGUCGAUCAAUAAUACAUUGUCAGUCCGUCAGUACCAGUCAAAGAGAAAAUACAGAUUGUAGGACGAUCAAUGUCAGGUUGGUUCUUCUUCUAUCUUUGGAAGCAUCAGCUAGCUGUAUAUAUUGACAACGUCCUCUUUACUCGGUGCGAUGUGGCUGCUGACAUUAUCCAGGCUGACGACUUGCAGUUACAUGAUCAAUGCGAUACCAAUCCGAUUAGCACAGCAAAAGAAUCACUCAAUUCUGUUUUGGAACAGAUAUAAUCAUGGUCUGCAAAUAUAUCCAUAGAUAUGAAGCCUGAUAAAUCCCAUCAUGAUAAUGAAAUUGUUAAUUUUACUGUAAUUGGACCGAAUUAAAAAAAAUCAGCUUUACGAAAUAUAAUUUCAAAAAAUUUCCGUGUUCUACUUAAUGUAUGUCAAAGAUGUUUAGAUUUACAUAGAUAGUUACCACAGCUGGGAUGUCUAAAUGAGAAAAUAGUCUUUUAAAUUUAUAGUGCGUUGCAGUCUUGGCCAGGACUUAAAAAUGUAAUUAAAACUGUGAUUACUUAUUUCUUUCUUUAUUUCUUUUUUUCUAACUUUUAAGUUUCAAUUUCACUGAAUAAACUCGAACUCUUGCUAUACAUCUGUACUUCAUAUAUACGGGCUAUGAAAAUUUUAUCAUGUCUCUGGUCUCUAGCCACCGAAAGCAACUACAAUGACUACAUUCGAAAAAAUUCUUUCACUAAAAGUUUAGCUAAAAACUGUUAUUUCGAAAAGGUGAUUGUGUUAUCUUACUAUUUUUUAUUUGUUUUUAUUUUGUUUUUGUUAAUAGGUAUUAUUUUUUAAUCAUUAAUUCAUAGUAUUUUAAAUUUGCCCAAAACGAUAUUUUCUCCACUUUUUUUAGGGUUAGCUGGAGAAAUGCAAUGCUAUGUUUAUGACAUGCUAUGCUAAAGAAUGCGCAUUCUAAACAAUAUAUUAAGCUCAUCUAUUAUGCAUAACCGUUAUAUAUAUGUGCAAUACAGAAAUGACUAAAUAAAUAUAUAAAUAAGUUGGAA